CCUACGGGAGGCAGCAGUGGGGGAUAUUGCACAAUGGGGGGAACCCUGAUGCAGCGACGCCGCGUGGGUGAAGAAGCGCCUCGGCGCGUAAAGCCCUGUCAGCAGGGAAGAAAAUGACGGUACCUGAAGAAGAAGCCCCGGCUAACUACGUGCCAGCAGCCGCGGUAAUACGUAGGGGGCAAGCGUUAUCGGGAUUUACUGGGUGGAAAGGGGGCGCAGACGGCGAUGCAAGCCAGGAGUGAAAGCCCGGGGCCCAACCCCGGGACUGCUCUUGGAACUGCGUGGCUGGAGUGCAGGAGGGGCAGGCGGAAUUCCUGGUGUAGCGGUGAAAUGCGUAGAUAUCAGGAGGAACACCGGUGGCGAAGGCGGCCUGCUGGACUGCAACUGACGUUGAGGCCCGAAAGCGUGGGGAGCAAACAGGAUUAGAUACCCUAGUAGUC
rnacentral:rRNA from 1 species